rnacentral:miRNA from 2 species
GCUGCAUCGUCUGAGUUAUGC